rnacentral:rRNA from 1 species
CCCUUAGAUGUCCUGGGCCGCACGCGUGCUACACUGACACUUACACCGAGUUUUUCCAAUGCCGAAAGGCCAUUGGUAAUCAGCAAUAAGUGUCGUGAUGGGGAUAGAUCUUUGGAAUUAUUGAUCUUGAACGAGGAAUGCCUAGUAAUCGUAGGUCAUCAGCCUGCGAUGAUUACGUCCCUGCCCUUUGUACACACCGCCCGUCGCACCUACCGAUUGAAUGGUCCGGUGAAAUUCUCGGACGCGGACUUGCAAUGUUAAUUCGGAGCUUGACUGUGAAAGUUAAUUAAACCUUACCAUUUAGAGGAAGGUGAAGUCGUAACA